rnacentral:rRNA from 1 species
GAACGACUCUCGGCAACGGAUAUCUCGGCUCUCGCAUCGAUGAAGAACGUAGCGAAAUGCGAUACUUGGUGUGAAUUGCAGAAUCCCGUGAACCAUCGAGUCUUUGAACGCAAGUUGCGCCCCAAGCCAUUAGGCCGAGGGCACGCCUGCCUGGGUGUCACGC